GCCCUAGUUGUCAUAGCAGCACUAGGAGGUGGGGCUCGGUCGCCAAAGCAGCGAAGAAGACUUACGAUUUUUGAACAGCUGAAUCAUGUUAUUUGAAUUGGAGUUGGCAACACUAUCCAUGUCUGCUAAACAUACAGGGAAGUUUCUCUAGUCAGAUUAGGGAAGACUCACCUACAGAGAGCGCCUUCUCCCUUACCAACCUGCCCGGUCACUGAGGUCAUCCGAGGGCCUGAUCCUGGUGGUUCCACCCAGAUCCAUCCUCCGAUUGGAAUCCACCAGGGGAAGAGCCUUCAGCGUGGUGGCACCCCUCCUGUGGAAUUCCCUGCCUCUGGAGGUCAGGCAGGCUCUGACCUUGUACUCUUUUCGGCGCCUCCUGAAAACAUCUUUAUUCCAAGAAGCCUUUCUUUAACA